rnacentral:lncRNA from 1 species
CAGGAGCCGCAAGCAACUAAAUCAAGUCCAACAUCAAGCCCAGGGAAAGAUCCGUUGAAAGUCGAAGGUGGACUUAUGACACGAGCGAGGACAAAGCAAGUGAAAGAGGCGAUGGGAUUACUCGUCAAGACAACCAUCGAUGAAAUCAUGUUUGGAACUCAAAAUGGGACAACUUUCGUAUUCGGGUCGAAGGUCGAAACCAAUUGGAUCAACAUGAUACAAGUAGUCGAAAAU